CUCCAGCCCUGAUAGGAAGAUGACUCUCCUUGUGGGCGUUAGCCUUUUGCUUUUCUACCGAGGCGUGCUGUGUGACCAAGUGACCCAGAGCCCCCCGUACCAGACAGUGGCAAGCGGCAGUAAGGUGACACUGUUCUGCACUUACCACACAACAUACUCAAACCCGGAUUUAUACUGGUACCGAAUAAGGCCAGAUCGUUCCUUUCAGUUUAUCCUCUACAGGGAUAACACUCGAUCCAAAGAUGCAGAUUUUACUCAGGGUCGUUUUUGGGUGUGGCACAGUCAGUCCCAGAAAACCUUCCACUUGGUGAUCUCGGUGGAGCCUGAAGACAGUGCCACAUACUACUGCGCCAUCUAUCCCCACAGUGUCGCAGGUGCCCAGGAGGUCUGAACAUAAACCCCCAGCACAGCCUGGUGUAGCUCCCUGGGAUCCUUCUUCCCGGCUAUUUUGUGUUCCAGCCUGGCCUUUGGAGGUGCCCUGACAUGUCUGCUGAAUAAUACAAGGGCAGCUCACAUCCAGGAGAGCACCCUGGCUUCAGAUGGAGCAGAGCACCUCCCUACCUUCUGACUCAGUGGGCCGUUGCGGUGGGAGAGUGGGAGAGGUAUGUCUGGGGAAUUCUCAUCUUCGUGUCCCCAGUGCCCAGGUCACUCACGCCUGAUACGGGGGCCUGUUGCGUAUGUACUCUGAGGACUGUGAAGAUAAACAGAAUGGCCAAGGUACCAUUCGGGAGUGCUUUUAUUUUAGUCUCUAUCAUUUAUCCAUUGUUGUGAAUUGGUCUGUUUUCCUUUUAAGAUUCAAAGUAGACACAAAGUUACUUACUUCAAAAUUUUCCCCCCAGUUCACCUUUUCCCUGCUUCUUCUUGUACAGCCACCUUAUUUUUCUUGAAUGCCCUUUGACACUGCCAUUUCACUUACUUUAUUUGGAGAACAUUUUUCUUCCACGGAGGAGCAUUGAGAUACUCCGAAAAAGCUGUUGGUGAUCCCUAGAACCCCAGCAUCAAGUCCCUGCGUUUGGAGCUCUUUGGUGUCUCCAAGGAAGAUGAUCAUCUCCAGGAGAAUCCAACUGUGUGAUGUCAAAAUAGAUACACCCUGAGCCCUGGGAA